rnacentral:rRNA from 1 species
UUGGCUCAGAACGAACGCUGGCGGCAGGCCUAACACAUGCAAGUCGAACGGUAGCACAGAGAGCUUGCUCUCGGGUGACGAGUGGCGGACGGGUGAGUAAUGUCUGGGAAACUGCCUGAUGGAGGGGGAUAACUACUGGAAACGGUAGCUAAUACCGCAUAACGUCGCAAGACCAAAGAGGGGGACCUUCGGGCCUCUUGCCAUCAGAUGUGCCCAGAUGGGAUUAGCUAGUAGGUGGGGUAAUGGCUCACCUAGGCGACGAUCCCUAGCUGGUCUGAGAGGAUGACCA